GAUCCCUACAACACGCAAUCACGACCGAAACGAAGAGGGAAAAAACAAAACAAAAAUUAUUAGUUCUCCUUCUCCCGAAAGGAACAGACAACAACAACAACAACCGAACACGGUGGAAAAGGGCAAAAAAAAAAAAUCAUCAACUUGUGCAAUUUCAAGGUCGUGUUCUCAUGCACGCAAAGACGGAAACAUAACUCGGUGGGGGGUUAAGUGUAUACACGGGCAGACGUAUCGUACGUACAGCGAGGCCCUACUCUUUUGUGGCAUUGAAUGGCGUGGUGUGUCGAUGAUUGUCUCUCGAUCUAGUCGGCAAAACAAUGGAAGAGGCGGAGCAGACAAUGUAAUAUACGGCGUGUCUUUUGUUUCAAUCCAUUUUGCCAUAUCAGAGGAUGGUGUAACCUCUGUGCAACUGAGAAAAUUCUUUGUUUUCUUUUUUUUUUGUUUUUUCUGUUGUUUUGAUAUGCAGAAUAGUUUGCACGGCAGCCAAAGAUUUUCAGAGUUUGUCGUUUUACAUAAUCGACCACGGGAAGGCGAUGUGAAAAACAAAACAAAAAGGAAGGGAAGAGAAUCAUCAUUUCCCGUUCAAAGCGAAGAAUAUUCCAGGUGAAACUAUUAGCGUGUCGAGGUAAUUUUUAAACCUAAGCGUGACUGGCUUUCUAAAAAUAUAAAUUCUCUUUCCAUUUUUUUCUUCUUCUUUAUCCUUAUUAAUUUUGCUUUUAUUAAAAAUUUUUUUUGUAGUCGUUCUCUUCAAUUAAACACAAAGAAACUAAAAAUAAACAAGCGGAACUGUA